rnacentral:tRNA from 1 species
GGGGAUUUAGCUCAGCGGUAGAGCGCUUGCCUAGCAAACGCAAGGCCCUGGGUUCGAUCCCCAGCUCCG